rnacentral:rRNA from 1 species
AUUGAACGCUGGCGGCAUGCCUUACACAUGCAAGUCGAACGGUAACGCGGGGCAACCUGGCGACGAGUGGCGAACGGGCGAGUAAUGUAUCGGAACGUGCCCAGUUGUGGGGGAUAACUGCUCGAAAGAGCAGCUAAUACCGCAUACGACCUGAGGGUGAAAGCGGGGGAUCGCAAGACCUCGCGCAAUUGGAGCGGCCGAUAUCAGAUUAGGUAGUUGGUGGGGUAAAGGCCCACCAAGCCAACGAUCUGUAGCUGGUCUGAGAGGACGACCAGCCACACUGGGACUGAGACACGGCCCAGACUCCUACGGGAGGCAGCAGUGGGGAAUUUUGGACAAUGGACGCAAGUCUGAUCCAGCCAUGCCGCGUGCGGGAAGAAGGCCUUCGGGUUGUAAACCGCUUUUGUCAGGGAAGAAAAGGGCGACUCUAAUACAGUUGCCUCAUGACGGUACCUGAAGAAUAAGCACCGGCUAACUACGUGCCAGCAGCCGCCGCAGUAA